CAUAUGAUGAGAAUAUAAUAUAAUUUAAUAUCUACAUAUGUAUAUAUUGCCUAACUUUCUACACAUUGAUCCAUCAUUUCCCAGGAAUCAUUUUUAGGAGCCAUCUUGAAUAUCAGAGUGACAAUUGCAGCCACUGUACUGUAUAGUGCACAGUACAUACAACUGUACAUAGCAACUUUUAUCACCGUGAUGUAACAUGUGUGGAACACUUACCAUAUUCCAGUUGUUUCCAUGAACUACUCAAGGAAUUUUCAUAACUGCCUUGUGAAAUUUUACUGUGUGUUUAUACAUGAAGGUACCGAGGUUCGGAAACUGGGGAUGGUAGACAAAUAUAAUUUAUCAAGGGAAAAAACGAUUCUGUAAUAAGGAAGGGUGGUUAGCAAAUGUGCUCUACCUAUGAUCCUCAAAGAGGGGACAUUUCUUCUGGGGGAGGGAGGUGCAUUAUCAAACUCUUCAUGCGUGGGGUGAUGAAGUGUAUGGGAAGGUUACACAAAAAUCAUUCUCAAUAUUUUAUUUUAUGGGGCUGGGGUGGUGGCUCAGUGAUAGAGCGCUUGCCUAGUACACGUGGGGCACUGGGUUUGAGCCUCAGCACCAUAUAAAAAUAAGUAAAUAAAUUAAUGAAAUAAACGUACUGUGAAAAAAAUUUUAAUUUCAUACUUGCAAAUUAAAUAAAACUAAUAAUUUUAAAAAUAUAAUUGAGGGAAAACAAUUAUAUUUUGAAGGGUCUUGCCAUGUAGUCAUAUAGAGAAGAUAUUUCUAUAUUU
rnacentral:lncRNA from 1 species